UCAAGGGGUGUGUUAUAGGCAGGUAGA
rnacentral:piRNA from 1 species